rnacentral:rRNA from 1 species
AACGAACGCUGGCGGCAGGCCUAACACAUGCAAGUCGAGCGAGGACUUCGGUUCUAGCGGCGGACGGGUGAGUAACGCGUGGGAAUGUGCCCUUCUCUACGGAAUAGCCCUGGGAAACUGGGAGUAAUACCGUAUACGCCCUAUUGGGGAAAGAUUUAUCGGAGAAGGAUCAGCCCGCGUUGGAUUAGGUAGUUGGUGGGGUAAUGGCCUACCAAGCCGACGAUCCAUAGCUGGUUUGAGAGGAUGAUCAGCCACACUGGGACUGAGACACGCCCAGACUCCUACGGGAGGCAGCAGUGGGGAAUCUUAGACAAUGGGGGCAACCCUGAUCUAGCCAUGCCGCGUGAGUGAUGAAGGCCUUAGGGUUGUAAAGCUCUUUCAGCUGGGAAGAUAAUGACGGUACCAGCAGAAGAAGCCCCGGCUAACUCCGUG